UACGAAGGGGGCUAGCGUUGUUCGGAAUCACUGGGCGUAAAGAGCGCGUAGGUGGUUUGGUAAGUCAGAGGUGAAAGCCUGGAGCUCAACUCCAGAACUGCCUUUGAAACUGCCAAGCUGGAGUCUCGGAGAGGAUAGUGGAAUUCCUAGUGUAGAGGUGAAAUUCGUAGAUACUAGGAGGAACACCAGUGGCGAAGGCGACUAUCUGGACGAGUACUGACACUGAGGCGCGACAGCGUGGGGAGCAAACAGG
rnacentral:rRNA from 1 species